rnacentral:rRNA from 1 species
UACGGAGGGGGCGAGCGUUAUUCGGAAUUAUUGGGCGUAAAGGGCGCGUAGGCGGCUGUACAAGUCAAAGGUGAAAUCCCUCGGCUCAACUGAGGAACUGCCUUUGAAACUGUACGGCUUGAGGCCGGGAGGGGGUAGCGGAAUUCCCAGUGUAGCGGUGAAAUUCGUAGAUAUUGGGAAGAACACCGGUGGCGAAGGCGGCGAUCUGGGUAGAUACUGACGCUCAUGCACGACAGCGUGGGGAGCGAACAGG